rnacentral:lncRNA from 1 species
GCCAUGCACGACAUAAAAAUGGUGCAAAUGAUUUGUAUUUGGUAGAAUCAAUUUUCAUUUACAAUUAAUCACUUUACAAAAAAAUACAGUGUAUCAUUCAUAUACAUGGCAUGACUUUGUAAGGAAAUGUUAUGAUGAAUAUUGCUAUUUUUGGUAGGACAAAUAUUUUAAUUCAUUAAAUCCUAAAAUUUACGAAAGGUUGUUAUUUUUUCUAUAUUUUCUCCCCAUCCCUACAUCAAAUUUACAUUUGUUUGGCUAGCAUUUAAAUGCUAAUACUAUUUGUUUUGCGUUAUCUUCUCAAUUUCAAGCACAAAUAAAAGGGACACUAUAUU